UACGUAGGGUGCAAGCGUUGUCCGGAAUUAUUGGGCGUAAAGAGCUCGUAGGCGGUUCGUCACGUCGGCUGUGAAAUCCCGAGGCUCAACCCCGUGCCUGCUUCCGAUACGGGCAGACUAGAGGUAUGCAGGGGAGAACGGAAUUCCUGGUGUAGCGGUGAAAUGCGCAGAUAUCAGGAGGAACACCGGUGGCGAAGGCGGUUCUCUGGGCCUGUACUGACGCUGAGGAGCGAAAGCGUGGGGAGCGAACAGG
rnacentral:rRNA from 1 species